CCUACGGGGGGCAGCAGUGGGGAAUUUUGGACAAUGGGGGCAACCCUGAUCCAGCCAUUCCGCGUGAGUGAAGAAGGCCUUCGGGUUGUAAAGCUCUUUCAGCAGGAACGAAACGGUAGGCUUUAAUAAAGUUUGCUAAUGACGGUACCUGAAGAAGAAGCACCGGCUAACUACGUGCCAGCAGCCGCGGUAAUACGUAGGGUGCGAGCGUUAAUCGGAAUUACUGGGCGUAAAGCGUGCGCAGGCGGUUUUGUAAGACAGAUGUGAAAUCCCCGGGCUUAACCUGGGAACUGCGUUUGUGACUGCAAGACUAGAGUGUGGCAGAGGGGGGUAGAAUUCCACGUGUAGCAGUGAAAUGCGUAGAGAUGUGGAGGAAUACCGAUGGCGAAGGCAGCCCCCUGGGUUAACACUGACGCUCAUGCACGAAAGCGUGGGGAGCAAACAGGAUUAGAUACCCCGGUAGUC
rnacentral:rRNA from 1 species